AUUGAACGCUGGCGGCAUGCUUUACACAUGCAAGUCGAACGGUAACAGGGUGCUUGCACCGCUGACGAGUGGCGAACGGGUGAGUAAUACAUCGGAAUGUACCCAGUAAUGGGGGAUAACGCUUCGAAAGGAGUGCUAAUACCGCAUACGCCCUGAGGGGGAAAGUGGGGGACCGCAAGGCCUCACGUCAUUGGAGCAGCCGAUGGCUGAUUAGCUAGUUGGUGAGGUAAAGGCUCACCAAGGCGACGAUCAGUAGCGGGUCUUAGAGGACGAUCCGCCACACUGGAACUGAGACACGGUCCAGACUCCUACGGGAGGCAGCAGUGGGGAAUCUUGGACAAUGGGCGAAAGCCUGAUCCAGCAAUGCCGCGUGCGUGAAGAAGGCCUUCGGGUUGUAAAGCGCUUUUGUCUGGGAGCAAAUCCUGGCCUCUAAUACAGGUCGGGGAUGAGAGUACCAGAAGAAUAAGGACCGGCUAACUACGUGCCAGCCGCCGCCGUAACAC
rnacentral:rRNA from 1 species